rnacentral:lncRNA from 1 species
AUCUGGAAGGGGACACUGUUUUACCUCCCUCUGAAGAUAUCUAAGCCCAUCAGAUUUCUACUUGUGCCAGGUUCAUUCAACCUCUAAUUCUCAAUG